GGACCGGGGGCCCGCACAAGCGGUGGAGCUAUGUGGUUUAAUUCGAUGAUACGCGAAGAACCUUACCAGGGCUUGACAUCCCCUGACCGCGUAUGAAAGUACGUUUUCACCCUCGGGUGACAGGGAGACAGGUGGUGCAUGGUUGUCGUCAGCUCGUGUCGUGAGAUGUUGGGUUUAAGUCCCGCAACGAGCGCAACCUCUACGUUUAGUUGCUAACGCGUGAAGGCGAGCACUCUAGACGAACUGCCGUUGACAAAACGGAGGAAGGUGGGAUGACGUCAAAUCAUCAUGCCCCUUAUGUUCUGGGCUACACACGUGCUACAAUGGCCGGUACAGACGGAGGCGAAGCCGCGAGGCGGAGCAAAUCCGAAAAAGCCGGUCUCAGUUCGGAUUGCAGGCUGCAAUUCGCCUGCAUGAAGUCGGAAUCGCUAGUAAUCGCAGGUCAGCAUACUGCGGUGAAUACGUUCCCGGGCCUU
rnacentral:rRNA from 1 species